UACGUAGGGACCAAGCGUUGUUCGGAUUUACUGGGCGUAAAGGGCGCGUAGGCGGCAAUUCAAGUCAGCUGUGAAAUCUCCGGGCUUAACUCGGAACGGUCAGCUGAUACUGCUUUGCUAGAGUGCAGAAGGGGCAAUCGGAAUUCUUGGUGUAGCGGUGAAAUGCGUAGAUAUCAAGAGGAACACCUGAGGUGAAGACGGGUUGCUGGGCUGACACUGACGUGGAGGCGACGAAAGCUAGGGUAGCAAACGGG
rnacentral:rRNA from 1 species